UACGGGGGGAGCAAGCGUUGUUCGGAUUUACUGGGCGUAAAGGGCGCGUAGGCGGUCGUGACAAGUCACUUGUGAAAUCUCCGGGCUUAACUCGGAACGGUCAAGUGAUACUGUCGGACUAGAGUACAGAAGGGGCAACUGGAAUUCUCGGUGUAGCGGUGAAAUGCGUAGAUAUUCGGAAGAACACCAGUGGCGAAGGCGACUCACUGGCCCGUUACUGACGCUGAGGCGCGAAAGCGUGGGGAGCAAACAGG
rnacentral:rRNA from 1 species